GAGUUUGAUUCUGGCUCAGGCACCAACGCUGGCGGCGUGCCUAAUGCAUGCAAGUCGAGCGAAUCAAAGGGAGCUUGCUCCCGGAGAUUAGCGGCGGACGGGUGAGUAACACGUGGGUAACCUGCCUGUAAGAUUGGGAUAACUCCGGGAAACCGGAGCUAAUACCGGAUAACAUUUCGAACCGCAUGGUUUGAAAUUGAAAGAUGGUUUCGGCUAUCACUUACAGAUGGACCCGCGGCGCAUUAGCUAGUUGGUGAGGUAACGGCUCACCAAGGCGACGAUGCGUAGCCGACCUGAGAGGGUGAUCGGCCACACUGGGACUGAGACACGGCCCAGACUCCUACGGGAGGCAGCAGUAGGGAAUCUUCCGCAAUGGACGAAAGUCUGACGGAGCAACGCCGCGUGAACGAUGAAGGCCUUCGGGUCGUAAAGUUCUGUUGUUAGGGAAGAACAAGUACCAGAGUAACUGCUGGUACCUUGACGGUACCUAACCAGAAAGCCACGGCUAACUACGUGCCCAGCAGCCGCGGUAAUACGUAGGUGGCAAGCGUUGUCCGGAAUUAUUGGGCCGUAAAGCGCGCGCAGGCGGUUUCUUAAGUCUGAUGUGAAAGCCCACGGCUCACCCGUGGAGGGUCAUUGGAAACUGGGG
rnacentral:rRNA from 1 species